UCCUCAGGCCCACCAGCCACAUUUCAAGCACUCGAUGGCCACACGUGGCUCAUGGCUAGCAUAUGGCACAGCACAGAUGGGAAUAUUUCCCUCAAUGAGGCACAUUCUAUCUGCCAGCACUGGCCAUCGAAGGAACCAGGAGUCAAGCAAGGUUCAAGUGGAGCCUGAGUUGGAGCCACAGUGUUCCCCGCAGGCUUGGAGGACCACGACGACUCCGACUCCCGCAUGCGAGGGAGAGGAUGGCCACCACCUCUCACAGGAAGACAAACCACCCAGGCGUGAGGUGUUCUGCGCCUGCGCAGACCUAAGGUUCCUACAGAGAGCGAAUGCUUGCUCAGGAUGCGGGGAGGCAAUGGACAGACAAGGCAGCGGGGAAAGCUGGCUCUGCCUCCGAGUGCCCCUACUCUGGUCCCCGCUGUCGGCUGUUGAAACCUGAGUGCACGUGUCCCAGCUGGGAAAAGCCAGCGUCCUCCCAGAGAGAUGGCCCCGCACCCCACCCCGUCUUGUCUUCCGUGUUGCCUACGCUGUCGGUGUUCUAACCCAUCUACCUACUUCCCGCUAUGUUCUCAAAUCUCUCUCACUGUCCCAAGAGGGAAGGAAGAGACUUGAUACACCGCGCGCCACAGCCAAAUAGAGAAGGCCAAGUGUACAGAGAGGAAAGCCAUCAUGACUCAAGAAAUAAUAGCUACCAACCAUGAGCCUUGCCUCUAGACAAAAGGAUCACGUACAUGAGGGGCCAAUUCUGAGACUUCAUCACAGGCGAAGAGAUGAAAACGGGCUCAGCUGGUGCCUUCAAAGACAACAGUCUCCAUAUCCAUCUCAUAUUUUACACUCUCAAAGCCGCAAAAAUGCCUUCGACCCAAUAGUUUUAUUUUGUGAUUAAUUUGUGACACAAUUUAAAAUAUAGGAAAAACACAUG